rnacentral:rRNA from 1 species
AUUGAACGCUGGCGGCAUGCCUUACACAUGCAAGUCGAACGGCAGCACGGGUGCUUGCACCUGGUGGCGAGUUGCGAACGGGUGAGUAAUACAUCGGAACAUGUCCUGUAGUGGGGGAUAGCCCGGCGAAAGCCGGAUUAAUACCGCAUACGAUCUACGGAUGAAAGCGGGGGCCCUCCGGGCCUCGCGCUGUUGGGUUGGCCGAUGGCUGCUUAGCUAGUGGGCGGGGUAAAGGCCUACCAAGGGUACGACCAGAAGCGGGUACGAGAGGGAGACCAGCCAGCCUGGCUGUGAGAAACGGCCCCGACUCCUACGGGAGGAAGCAGUGGGGAAUUUUGGACAAUGGACGAGAGCCUGAUACAGCAAUGCCGCGUGUGUGAAGAAGGCCUUCGGGUUGUAAAGCACUUUUGUCCGGAAAGAAAUACUUGGCCCUAAUACGGUCGGGGGAUGACGGUACCGGAAGAAUAAGCACCGGCUAACUACGUG